AAGGAAGCAUGGAACAAGUUCAAUUCUGAGGAGCUAUUUUAAUUCCUGUGGUGAUAUUUUGCUCCAAACUACUUGAUUAGGCAAUCACACUAUUUAGUGGGGGUGGAAAUGCGCAAUUGUUCCAGUAGAUGUAUUCUUGUAUCUGCUGUAAUUGGUGUUGCAUCAUAUCACUGAUAAAAACGCCAACAGGGGACUUAUCAUUUGUAGCUAUUGAGAUACCGGAAGGUUGAAGUAGUCUCGCAUAAUUCAGGUGGCUGUAAAGGUACUUUCCUCCAGCACAGGGCGCCUGAAGGCUGGAAUUACUUCUCCAUGUAGAGUAUCGUUCUGCAUACCCCUAUGGCAUAUUAGAUGGGGGGUGGGAAGGUUUUUUUCCUUUUUUUUUUGUUAAUUCUUUUCUAUAGUUAUAUAUAUUUUUUUCCCUUGUGGGUUUU
rnacentral:misc_RNA from 1 species